rnacentral:misc_RNA from 1 species
UAUCAGCUCUGCUCUAAGUUUCAUUUCCUUUGACACUCCAUCUGUUAGUACGAAGAUGCAGACACAUCCAAUGAUUAGGAUGCAUAUUGAUGCUGAGAUCAAUAUUACAAGAGUCUUGAUAGCCCUCUCAUCUACCUUUCCCAUUAUAUAUUUCCUUGGAAUGAUGAUAACUCCUACCAUUGGAAGUCUCUUUAACUGCAGGUAAAAUGAGUCAAUAUAAUAGAGCUGAUUCCCAAGUUUAGCAUUCUCUAUGUGCACUUCUUGACUUGGGGUAAGCCUCUUUCCAUAAUCCUUCUGUAAGCACUCAGCCCCAGAUCGUAUAACGGGGUCUUCAG